AGAGUUUGAUCAUGGCUCAGGAUGAACGCUGGCGGCGUGCUUAACACAUGCAAGUCGAACGCUGAAGCCCCAGCUUGCUGGGGUGGAUGAGUGGCGAACGGGUGAGUAACACGUGAGUAACCUUCCCUUGACUCUGGGAUAAGCCCGGGAAACUGGGUCUAAUACCGGAUACGACCUCCUGCCGCAUGGUGUGGGGGUGGAAAGAUUUAUCGGUUUUGGAUGGACUCGCGGCCUAUCAGCUUGUUGGUGAGGUAAUGGCUCACCAAGGCGACGACGGGUAGCCGGCCUGAGAGGGUGACCGGCCACACUGGGACUGAGACACGGCCCAGACUCCUACGGGAGGCAGCAGUGGGGAAUAUUGCACAAUGGGCGCAAGCCUGAUGCAGCGACGCCGCGUGAGGGAUGACGGCCUUCGGGUUGUAAACCUCUUUCAGUAGGGAAGAAGCGAAAGUGACGGUACCUGCAGAAGAAGCGCCGGCUAACUACGUGCCAGCAGCCGCGGUAAUACGUAGGGCGCGAGCGUUAUCCGGAAUUAUUGGGCGUAAAGAGCUCGUAGGCGGUUUGUCGCGUCUGCCGUGAAAGUCCGGGGCUUAACCUCGGAUCUGCGGUGGGUACGGGCAGACUAGAGUGCAGUAGGGGAGACUGGAAUUCCUGGUGUAGCGGUGAAAUGCGCAGAUAUCAGGAGGAACACCGAUGGCGAAGGCAGGUCUCUGGGCUGUUACUGACGCUGAGGAGCGAAAGCAUGGGGAGCGAACAGGAUUAGAUACCCUGGUAGUCCAUGCCGUAAACGUUGGGCACUAGGUGUGGGGGACAUUCCACGUUUUCCGCGUCGCAGCUAACGCAUUAAGUGCCCCGCCUGGGGG
rnacentral:rRNA from 1 species